CCGAACUAUUGCAAAUCAAGCCAGACGACCCUGCUCACUCACCACAGCGCCCGCCCCCUGGGGGCUGUUUGGGGUCGUAUCAGCCAUUGGAGACAAAUUCGCGCCUGCGACGGUGUAAUCGCGGAGUGAAGUGACAGAACGUCAGCGCUGGGGCCACGACCCGGGAAACCGGCUUCCUCGCCGGGUGCCACAGGCUCGUCUCGCCUUGCGGGAGCUCCGAGACUCCUGAGUACAAGGUCUACACCAGAGGCUUGAAAAUACAAGAUCAAGUUAUCAGCGAUGUGGCUUCAUUUUGUGGCCUUUUCUCUUGGCUUGAAGGCAGCUGGAUGCUCAGCAGAGGAACAAUGCCAACAUUGAAGCCCUCGGUUGGAGUCUGCACAGUUGGAGAUCUUUGGUGCCAUUUUAGACAUCUUUGGAUUUCAUCAAUCAAACUGACUGCAAUUUUCCAUAAAAACCCUGAAUUUGGGUCAGAAAG
ensembl:lncRNA